rnacentral:rRNA from 1 species
UGGGGAAUUUUGGACAAUGGGCGCAAGCCUGAUCCAGCAAUGCCGCGUGAGUGAAGAAGGCCUUCGGGUUGUAAAGCUCUUUUGUCAGGGAAGAAACGGGACUGGCUAAUAUCUGGUUCUAAUGACGGUACCUGAAGAAUAAGCACCGGCUAACUACGUGCCAGCAGCCGCGGUAAUACGUAGGGUGCAAGCGUUAAUCGGAAUUACUGGGCGUAAAGCGUGCGCAGGCGGUUUUGUAAGUCUGUCGUGAAAGCCCCGGGCUUAACCUGGGAAUUGCGAUGGAGACUGCAAGGCUUGAAUCUGGCAGAGGGGGGUAGAAUUCCACGUGUAGCAGUGAAAUGCGUAGAGAUGUGGAGGAACACCGAUGGCGAAGGCAGCCCCCUGGGUCAAGAUUGACGCUCAUGCACGAAAGCGUGGGGAGCAAACA